rnacentral:lncRNA from 1 species
GGUUUAUAUUAAUUUCAUACUGAUUUAGCUGUUUGAUAAUCUAUGAUUGUAUCUUUAAACACAUUACACUCGAUGAUUUAGGAAUGGUUAAACUGGCAUAUAAAAUCCGAAUUUCCAUAAAGCUUAUAUAUUCCUUUUUGUUGAAUUUCAGUGUGUUGGCUUCAUUCCUGUCAUCAAAGUUUUUGAUAUACAUUUCUGCUCUAAGAAUCUGAUCUUAUUUUUGUUGUGCUUGAAAUAAUUUAUCUGAUGCUGCGCAAUAUGCCUUAAAUCUUACAUUAAGGAAAUUUGACAUGUUUCUUAAUGCUAUUCCUGCUAAUUUAUCCCUUUAAAACUGUAAAACUUUAGUGUUCUACUUGCCGCGGCUUUUAUUUGGUUAGGCAAAAUUAUACAGGGUAAGAGAAAAUGUACGAUAGGUUGGCUCAUCAUCAGAAACCUAGACCACUUUGUAGGAGGCUGCCAAUGGUGAGUUAAAACAGAGUGAGUGAGUAACAGACCAUCAGAGCAAAUGGAUACAUAUUUGUUUUCCUAAUCACUGUCUUGCCAAGUUAUAAGUCAAGGGACACUGCUGAAAGUAGAUACCGAAAAUUGUUAUAAGACCAUCAUGGCAUCAUGUAUAUGCAAUCUAAGACUCUUCACUUAUCGUUCCCAGUCCAGAAUUUGGUGAUUCACUUGGAAGUUCUGAUGCAUUUAAGGAGCAUGGCUCCAGAAAGAGGUAUGCAUCUGCUUAUCCUUAUUCACCAGCCCACUUAUCUGUAUCCCUACUAUUGUUAGAGAAUUAUAGGUUUUGGGAUUUAUUUAUUUUGGGUUUUAUGUGUUUAAAAGUAGUAGUUAGCUCACUUCAUACUCUGCUUUAGAUCUGAUUUACUUGUAUUUAAAUUUUAUCUAUUUUCUAUAUAGGAUGAAGUCUGGAUCGUGCAGUAUAUCCGGCUCCAAAGCAUGUAGAGAGAAAAUGAGAAGAGAUCGAUUAAAUGAUAAGUAAGCACUCUGUCAAUCAGUUUAUCUUCUUCUAUGUUAUCAUCUCUCUUUCCUCUGCGCUUCCAUUGUAUCACUAUGUGAACUUGACCUUUGGUAUUGUCUCAACUCUCAAGGUUCCAAGAACUAAGCUCUAUACUGGAACCGGGGAGGACACCCAAAACCGACAAGGCUAUUAUAUUGAGUAAUGCCAUCCGAAUGGUUAAUCAGUUGAGGGAUGAAGCUAAGAAACUGAAGGAGUCGCAUGAUGCUUUGCAAGAUAAGCUGAACGAAUUGAAGGUGUGCUUGUUUACAAUCUGUUUAUACCUCUUGUUUGGAAGUCAAAUUGGAUUACAGCAAUUUUUUCUAAAAGGAACAAUUGCAUGUGUAUUAGGCUGAGAAGACAGAACUUCGAGAUGAGAAGCAAAAGUUGAAGGCAGAGAAAGAGAUACUUGAACAGCAAGUGAAAGCUUUUCACCCUCAGCCAGGCUUCUUACCCCCUGCAGUAGUUCCUUCUCCGUUUGCAGGUGCUAGUCAAAUUUCUGGUGGCAAGAUGAUGCCAUUUAUGGGCUAUCCUGGAGUUCCCAUGUGGCAAUUUACAACCCCUGCCGCAGUCGACACAGCACAGGAUCAUGUACUCCAUUCUCCAGUUGCCUAAGUUUAACCCGUGCCAAGAACUAUCUUGCUCUUAAAUCUCUCUCUUUUUUUGCCUUUUACUUCUAUGUGUAGCUCCGUAAAAUGUAAUUGGCACCACAAAACGCGGUUUUUAAUUUUCGCGGCGCGGUUGCGGUUUGAAUUUUUCACAAACCGCGCGGUGCGGUGCGGGUUGCGGUUUGACAUAUUAGUAGUGCGGUUCAAACCGCACCGCACCGCAAUAUUAUAUAUAUAUAUAUAGGGGAUAGUUCAACGAGGAACUCCCUUAUCCGAGUAACUGAGUAACUCUGCAUCUGAGCCAUACACGCUACCCUGAUGGUUUUGCAAGUUGAACAAAUGUUCUGCAAAUUAAACAUAUUUCAUAGAACAAAACAUUUUGUAAUGUUCUACAUGUAAAACUUAUAUGAUAUUCAAGAUUUUAAAUGUAAUAAUGAUUUCGGAGAACAUGAUUUGUAAAAUUAUACGUUUUGCAAUGUUUUUAUGAAAUAUUUUACUUGCAGAACAUAUGUGGUCUCCAAGUCUCCAGAAAAAAUGUGGUCUCCAUUGAACUUAACUCUAUAUAUAUAUUAGUAAUUGUCAAAUGAAAUUAUAUUACAUACAUAUAUAUUAUUUAUAAUUAUGUUAUAUAUAUUUGUUAAAUCUCUUUAAAUAAUAGUUAAUUAUUAUUUUAUCAAUCUCGCUUUACUAUUAUAUCAAAUUUGUGUGAAAUGAUUAUAUUAUUAUAACAUGUUUUUUUGUAGUUAGUACUCAUAUUUAUUAUCAUAUUUACAAUUUUGCUUGUGUUGUUCAGUAGUUGUUGUAGUUUUGAAAUGACAAAUAUCAACUAAAUUCAUUAAAAAAAAGUUUUAAUUAUUGUAUAUUUAAAUUUUAUUUCGAACUCGAAUUAAAAAUAUUUAAUCUUAAACAUACAAACCGCACAAACCGCACCGCACCACACCGCAUUUUUGUGGUGCGGUUUAUGCGGUUUUUAUGAUAGCGUGGUGCGGUUGCGGUUUGAGUUUUCAACCAAACCGCAUGCGCGGUUUGGUUCGCGGUUUUAGCGAAAAACCGCACCGCCCGCACCGCGAUCACCCCUAAUCCUGUAUAUCAAUGAUAUUGCUCCAGUCUUUUUUUACUAACAGAUUUUGUUCAGGUCCGCUUGAACAAACUACGCAUCUGAGAUAUGAAAACCCCAGAUCUUAAAAGUAGACGUUAAGGGGCGUUGAAUGGGAAUGAAAAUCAGUAACUCAUGGUUGUGGAUUUAACUACCAAUCGAGAAUGAUAUUCUCAUUCCAUAUAACAAAAUUGUUGAUUCAAAGACCAGCAUAUUAAUUUGAAAUUUUGAAUCUUGUUAACCGAAGAUGAACCAAACAGCCCCUGGAUUAGUAGAUUCGCAAAUGAAAACCCCAAAGAGGAAAAGAUUUAGCCACCGGUGAGAAAUUGGAGUCAUAUUUUCUUUCCUGUUGUUUUCUAAACAAAUCUUAAGUUCCAAUAUCAGUUACUGUAGAUGUUAAAUAUAACGGUUUUUCUAUCAGGAAAAUUUUGUGCUUGGAUCAUUUUGAUUGGCUUGGUGGACCCCCCUGCAAAUACACCAACCACACCAAUCAAAAUCUCCUAUAUACAAAAAUUUCCGCCCUUAGCAUGUGCCCAUGGGCACACACUAGCCAAACCGUAAAUAUAAAUAUGUAAAUCGCAUGAUCUGAACCGUGUUCGAAUAAAUUGAAGACAACUGACGAGUACUCGAAAACUGGUCCGGACACCGGAUUAUCAAUCGACAAAAACUCGUGGAGAAAAAUCAGGCGGCAUAAAACAAUUUAAACAUACACUGAACAUUAUGUAUCGAAAAUAUUGUCUCGUGUAAGCACUUACUGUGUAAAUUUACCCACACAAAUAAAUCACCAUAAAGACAAUCAACACAAGUUCAUACUAGAAGCGGUAUCGCUUUUCCUUAUGGUGAUGAAUUUGUUUGGGUAAUCCUCCACAGUUCCCGUGCUAAUUCUACGACAAAAGCAGCUCCGUCGGAAAAGCCUAAAAUUGUUUUGGUAUAUAAGUAGAAGCUUUGGUAAUGAAUAUCAUGAACGGUGUUGGUAUUUAUAGGAGAGGAGAGGAGAGGCUAUCAAGUGUUCUAGGGUUGAGCUCGCUCAUUUUGAAGGAGGCUGAGAUCUAGAAUUGGCAUUAUUCAUUGUUACUGCUCCUACUAGUUUGGUUUCCAAGAAAGAUGCUCUAAUUUGAAUGCUUUGUCAAAAGCAACGUUGGGUGGAUCGCGUUGGUAGGGAAUCAUAUCGAUAGAGUUAAAAGUGUUACUCCCUCCGUCCCCAUCAAUUGUUUACAUUGAAGGGGGACACGGAGACCAAGAUAAUAUAUGAAAAAUGAGUAAAUUCAUAUGAAAAGUGGGUAAAGUGGUGGGAUCUAUCAAUAUUUAAUAGUAGAUUUGAGAUAGUGGAGGAAAGUAGUGGGUGUAAUAGUAGUUUUUAUUGUUAAAUACUCCCUCCGUCCCUUUUUAUAUGUCCAUUUUGAAAAGAAAAACACAUACCAAGGAAUAAUUGAUUGUAUAAACUUUUUCAUUAAAUACCACUAAUUAAUAUCUUGAAAAUGGUGGAAUACCCCUACUUUAUGUCUUAGAAAACAUGAAUUCAACCAAGUUUUAAAUAAGUCAAGCCUUGAAAAUUGAAAUUAUGGAGAUAUAUUUGAAAAACUAUCAUUAAAUUAGUUUUGAAAGUAUAAAUGGACAGAUAAAUAGGGACAAAUUUUUACUUCCAAAAUGGACAGAUAAAUAGGGACGGAGGGAGUAUGAGAUAGUGGAGGAAGAUAGUGGGUAUAAUGAUGGGAAAAACUUACUAUUUAUAGUAACGUAAAGAAAUGAGAGGGACAUCCCAGUAACGGUAAAGAAAUGAGAGUGAUAGAGGGAGUAAGUAUCAGCUAGUUUACACUUCACUGAUUGUGUUCAAAUUUUUUAAUUAGAUCACUUAUUAUAAAUUUGACUCAAAUAAGUUAUUAAUUUAAAAAAUUUCAUUCUAUCAUUAGUCGAUAUUUUUUAAGUAUUAUAUAUUGAAUUUCACACAUUUUUUAUGAAUGUUACUAUAUCCAAAUAAAAGAUUUUCGAUUUCUAGUAUUUUAGAUAAUAUUGUUAGAUUUUUAAUAUUUUAUCAAUUAUUUAUUUUUAAUUUUUUGAUUGUUUUGUUUGAUUUAAAUAAAAAUAAAUAAUAGAUAAACUUUGAAAAUCUAAAAAUAUUUUCUAAUAUACUAGGUAUUUUUGCCCGCGCUUCGCGUGCUCUAAGUGCAUCCAUUAAGAUUUUGCUUUUUUUUUUCUUUUAAAUCAUAUAUUUUUAUAUUGUUUUGUUGUUUUGUUGUUAUAUAUUUUUAUAUUGUUUUUUUGUUAUUGUUUUGGAAAUUAGUUACAUCAAAACCCUAUAUAUAUGUUAAGAGAAUAUUUUUAUAAAAUUUAUAAAUAUUUUAUUUAAUCAAUUAUAAAUUUUCUAUUACUUUAAUUUAUUUUAUUUAUAAAUGACAUGGGUCAAAUUAAAUUAAAUUACUAUUUUAUUAUUAUUAUGAAUAAAUAUUAUAUACAUCAUCAAAAUAUUAUUUUAUUAAAAAUAAUAAUUAUUUUCAUGUGAAACAUUGAAAAAAGAAAUUAAUUUUUAUAAAAUUCUAUUAAGCAUUAUUUUAUUUAUCUACAUGUCUAUUCAAAGAAAAGCUCAAACAUUCUACCACACUUAAAAAAUCACUUUUUUGGACUGAAUAAAAUUACAAUAUACAAUUAAUAGAAUUAAUACAAAUAUUCUCUUAAAUGAUGAUAUCAAAUAAAUUACAAACUCCUAGACCAAAAAAAAGUAAAUUACAAACUCAAUAUUAUUUUAAAUGAAAUAAUAUAGCUAUCUUUCUCCAUGUCUCGGUCUAUAUUUCUCUUUUGCUAAGUGGCAUUCGCUACUUUAUAUUUAGUCAUUCAGGUUCUUUUACUGUCAUCUGAUCAAGCUAUUGCUGAUGCAGCCACUUAAGAUUCUCCGAUAUAAUAAUAAAAUUCUGAUAUCUUACCCAGAAAAAAAGUCACUGACAUUCAUAUCAAUGGUGUAGGUCUAGACCAAGCAGAAUCCAUUCAUUCAUAUGAAUUUCUAUAAUUAGAAGAUUUUCUGUCUUUGUUGGUUCCAUUAGGCAAUCACCUUCAUGUAACAUUAGUAAGAUGCACCAUAUAAUCAGAUAACAUUAACACACGUAACAGAAUGUAUUCGUGCAAAGCUAAUCUAGGAACCGAGGUCAAACUACUAAUAUCUACUACAAAAAAUCUUGUAUAGCUCGACCCCAGAGGAAUUACAUGACCAUCAUUAUGGUAUUACUUCUCUCUUCUUUCAUUUUCUCAACAACAUUUUUCUAAACUUGUCAUUAGAUUUCGGCUGCUCGUCUGCAACUUCCCCGACCACAUCAGGUUUUGUGUUGAUGUUGCUAGUAUAACCAAGUUGCCUGACAUUCUUUGGAGCUGCAAAAGUAUUUUUGCCUUUCAUCUGCACCUCUUUNNNNNNNNNNNNNNNNNNNNNNNNNNNNNNNNNNNNNNNNNNNNNNNNAAACCUGAUGUGGUCAAAGUAAAGUACUACAGAAUACAUGUGACUUUGUCCAGAACAAACGUUGUCUAAAGCUUGUAGGAUAAUGUUCAAGUUAAAAUUCUAUAUUGGAAUGGUUAUUUGCACCAUAAAAAAAAUGAAAUUGAUGAGUUGGGAGUAUAAGACGAUACCUACUUGUGGAUCUGCCUGCAGAAUGAAAUCCUGUUGACCGAAUUACUCAGAAUAUAGCUACCUGUGCUUAAUCAGAAUUAACAAAACUAUAAUUCUUAUUUAAAGAGAUAUUGUGUAAUAAUCAAUCGAAACAAUAGUAACCGAUCAUGGGGAUAGGAGAAUACCAACCUGUGGACGACAAUAAGAUUCAAGAAUUAGAAAUCUGGAGAAGAGAAGAUUAUUAUCAGUUUCAAAUUAAAUUGUAAUCUAGAUCUUGUUAAACAUGACAAAUGAUUUGAAAUACCGGAUAAAAACUUAUUUGUAGUGAUUAAUAUCGCAUUUUUAUCUGAAACAGAAUUAAGAAAAAACAAAAAACAGAACAUACAGGUCAGUAGUCUAUCCAGGCCUGAAGUCGGAUGCCCGACAGUAUGGAGUACUGACCACACCUUGAAAAUAAAAACACAAUUCUAUGUUCAAUGAAAUACAACAUCCGUAAAUGAUGAUCAACAACAAACAAUAACAAUUUGAUUGUGCUGAUGUUUUCCAAGUAGUACUGAUGUCUUCUCCAAAGUCGAAGAAGAAAACAAUAGAACACCUAUUUAUUAGAUAAUACCAAAGUUAAAUGUCAUAAAACAAUAAAAGAACGUCUUACAAAAAAAGUAAAAAGAACCGGAAAAUUACUAAAAAGCAGUGCUCACUGAAAUAUCCUUGUAAAAUGAAGAAGGUAAUACCCCUAGCCAAUUAAACUCCCAGCCAAUGCUGCGAUACCCCGGAACAAUGCAGAAGCCAUGUUCAAUUUUCCUGCUGAGAACAGAGCGAACUUCUGGUAUCAGUGAAUUUAUCUUGUAUUUAAGCUAACUUUUAUCGAGAAUAUACCAUGGUGCAUACUUAAUUACUAAAGUAUCAUAUCUAUUACAAACUGGGUUUUAGGUGACCAAUUUCAAAAUAAGAAUGACCUGCAUACCAGAGUGAUGAUUAUGAACCAUAAAACUUGAAGAAGAAAAUGGCUGUUGACAACGGAAUGUGCUUCUGUCUAUUGCGUACACAUGGAAUGUUGAUGCUUUUAAUACCUGAUUCGUGUAGUCGUGUCAAAACACCAGGUUGAGGUUAAAGGAGAACCUGGAGAUUCAGACAUGUUGUGAGGUGCAUAAAUCUUCAUGCUUUGCGAAGAGAAUUGCUUCUCCUCAUCAUUGAUCCCCGGAACGUUAGAGUGCUACUUGGAGUCCUACACUCUUAAGGAUUUCUGAUUCAUGUAGUCGUGUCAAAACACCAGGUUGAGGUGAAAGGAGAACCUGGAGAUUCAAACAUGUUAUGAGGUGCAUAAAUCUUCAUGCUUUGCGAAGAGAAUUGCUUUUCCUCAUCAUUGAUCUCCGGAACGUUAGAGUGCUACUUGGAGUCCUACACUCUUAAGUGAACAUGAAGAUUGAAAUUAGUAUCGGAUCAUAUAAGAUAAAAGAAUGAUGGACUACUAACCGGAAGUGUUCGGAGACACGUGAGUUCCACCAUUAGUAUACGGAUAAGUCACAUAAGCUGCAAAUGAAGGAGAAGAGAAAAAAAUUCUUAGUUAUAUGGUAUAAUUUGAGUAUGAUACUGCGUAGAGGUAAAUGACACCUUCUUCUGUUCCUGUAAUAUUUUUGGUUGUGUUGUCAGUUUCAUCGCCAAAUCUCAGUGCCAACAGUUUUUCAACACUUGACCUCUACCUAUGCAUCUAGAGCUGCAGAUGAUAUAAACAUUGUGAAAUUUGGCAAUGUACAUGAUCCUUCAUACCAACCUUAAAAAAAUUACCAACUAAUGGCGCUUUGCGAGGAGCAAGGAGAGGUUCUUGGGAAUUUAUCAUAUUGUUGACACCUGGUCUAGGCAUAAUUAACUUCCAAAAGUUAAUUAUGCCUAGACCUCUGCCUCUUCACUUUUGAACUGAUAAGUGUAGGUUUAAGAGAUUUCUGAUUCAUGUAGUCGUGUCAAAACACCAGGUUGAGGUGAAAGGAGAACCUGGAGAUUCAAACAUGUUAUGAGGUGCAUAAAUCUUCAUGCUUUGCGAAGAGAAUUGCUUCUCCUCAUCAUUGAUCUCCGGAACGUUAGAGUGCUACUUGGAGUCCUACACUCUUAAGUGAACAUGAAGAUUGAAAUUAGUAUCGGAUCAUAUAAGAUAAAAGAAUGAUGGACUACUAACCGGAAGUGUUCGGAGACACGUGAGUUCCACCAUUAGUAUACGGAUAAGUCACAUAAGCUGCAAAUGAAGGAGAAGAGAAAAAAAUUCUUAGUUAUAUGGUAUAAUUUGAGUAUGAUACUGCGUAGAGGUAAAUGACACCUUCUUCUGUUCCUGUAAUAUUUUUGGUUGUGUUGUCAGUUUCAUCGCCAAAUCUCAGUGCCAACAGUUUUUCAACACUUGACCUCUACCUAUGCAUCUAGAGCUGCAGAUGAUAUAAACAUUGUGAAAUUUGGCAAUGUACAUGAUCCUUCAUACCAACCUUAAAAAAAUUACCAACUAAUGGCGCUUUGCGAGGAGCAAGGAGAGGUUCUUGGGAAUUUAUCAUAUUGUUGACACCUGGUCUAGGCAUAAUUAACUUCCAAAAGUUAAUUAUGCCUAGACCUCUGCCUCUUCACUUUUGAACUGAUAAGUGUAGGUUUAAGACGAAAAAUUCACAUUAAAUUUUUACUGUAAAUUGAAUAGUAGAAUGAAAUAUGAGAUGAUACCUGAGUUUAUUGUGUUUUCAUGUCUAGUUUCGAAAUCAGAAGCAUUUGAUUGGAGACUACUGAUAGCAACAAAUCUAAAAUCUAAUGAUAGCAGCAAAUUCCUAAAUUAUGAGAAACUGAAUCACUUAAAGAUUAUUGUAACAAAGGAAAUUAAAUUGGAUUUUAAUUGGAGAAAAAUUGCUAAAAGAUGAAUCAUGACAAAUCGGAAUCCUUGUAUACCUGCUGGUUUUUUCCGGUUAUUAUUGCUGGUUAGUAGCCAUGAAACUUCAAGUAUUCCUGUAGUAUCCUCACAUUGUCUGUUUGGCCACAAAGAAAAUAAAUAACAUAAAUUUCAAUAAUAACAAAAUUGCUAAAAUAUGAAUCAUGACAAACCGGAAUCCUUGUAUGCCUGCUGGUUUUUUUCGGUUACUACUGCUGGUUAGUAGCCAUGAAACUUCAAGUAUCCCUGUAGUAUCCUCACCAUUGUCUGUUUGGCCACAAAGAAAUUAAAGAACAUAAAUUUCAAUAAUAAUAAACCUUGAACAAUAUUAACUCCUUACAAAUUAUUUUUCACUGCAUUAUAUAAAAGAUUAUAUACACAAUUAGCUAAAACUAUAUUGUAGGGAUAUGAAAUUGUUCUCAUAUCAGGUGCAGGAACAUCUGUCACCAAUCAGAUCAUGUAUCUACUGCAUAAAAACUAUGCUAAUUCAUUCUAGCUCAAAAAUACUCACCUCCUCUUGAUUACAUCAUAUCCCUCUUUUAGCACCACCGUAAAGUAUCCUAAUCACUACUCUUUUCCAAGUCAUUAGUAUGCUGAAGCAUUCACCUCGUCAUGAUCAACCAACAAACAUCUAUCAAUCAAGUUAUUUUUGGCCAUUUACGACCCAAAUAGAUUUUAAUUUCGAUAUGAUUCUUAUAUUUAUACUACAAAACAUUUAUACUUUUUAAUGUAGAAAGCAAGAACCUUAUACCAUUAUAUAGAGCAUGCUAAAAGAGAGAACAAACAUAAGACUAAGCAGAGGCGGGUAACGACCUACAUUACUCAACCAAAUAGAAUGCAACAAACUAAACACUUACAGUUUACACAUGUAUGAGCCCAACUCUCCCUCGAUGAUUAUUAAAUUACCUUCGAAAGUUUAAUUAGCUGUCACUAUAUCAAAAAAAAAUAAAUUCUAUUGGUCAAAAAGAAUUUAGGAACACAAAUGUUUGAAAAUUAUUACCAUCAUGUUGCUGAAAACUUGUUCGAGCAUUUCAUCAAACAUUUGACCUGCACACUGCAAACUUGUUCCUUAUCAGUUUAUCAUUGUCUCCAUCCAUAUCUGCAAACUGCAAUUAUAAGUUUAGGAUCGAACAAAGAAAGGAUGAGGAAAUUAACGGCAUUUCAAAGCAAUGGUAAUAAAACAAAAAAAAUGGAGAUGAAAAUUCAUACUAACCCGAUAUUAGACAAAACUGUAGCCAGAAUUGUAGAGAUGGAGAUUGCUUUGUUUAUAACAAUGAAAUUUGAAAUUGGUUUGUUGUUACAAAGGACACGGCCAACAGAGAUAGAGGAUUGCUGAGGAAGCCAUCGGCAAGUGGAAGAUCCGUACCGCUUGGUUUGAAAAUGUUACCAUUGUCUGUGUUCUGUAUUCUAGAUGUUUCCCGUAAGCUUCGUAAGUAUAUAAUAAAGUACCGUAUAUACGUGUGUGCAUAUAAUAAAGUACCGUAUAUACGUGUAUUUAGUGAAAUCUUUUUAAAGAGAUUAAAGAGAUAUACAUGUACACAUGAAAUCAAUUAAAUUAAUCAAAAUAAAAAGGUAAUAAAUCAAAAUAGCUAAUUAACAAAUUUAAUGGUGUAAUAAUAUAUUAUUUUUUAAAUGUAAUCUUGUGGAAAUUUUUAUAGCGGUAUUUUAAUUUUAAAUAUUUUAAGAAUAGGCGAUUAGUAGUUCAAGAAGUAAAUUAACUUUUCAAUUUUUGAAUUUUGAAUGCAAUAUCGUAAAAAAAAAUCUUUUAGAGUGUUUCGGAAGUCUUUCCAUGUUUAAUUCAAAAGCGUUAGGAAGUUAAUAAUUAAUAUAGUGAAAUUUGAAUUUUGUAUUUUGAGUAUAAUAUCAUACAAAAAAAAUUUCAGAGUGCUUUGGAAGUCUUUCCAUAUUUAAUCGGAGGAAAUAGAAAGUGAAUAAUUACAAUUAAAGGUAGGCAAAUAUACAGAUUUACACGUAUAUAUGAUAUCAAUUAAAUUAAUCAAAAUAAAAAAGUAAAAAAUCAAAAUAACUAAUUAACAAAUUUAAUGGGGCAUAACAUUACCUUUUUUUAAUGUAAUCUUGUGGAAAUAUUUUAGCUGUAUUUUAAUUUUAAAUAUUUUAAGAAAAAACGAUUGGUAGCUUAAUAGGUAGCUUUACAGUUUUUGAAUUUUGAAAGCUAUAUCAUAUAAAAAAAUCUUCUUGCUUAAGAAGUCUUUCCAUUAUUAAUCCGAAAUAAAUAGGAAGUUAAUAAUUAUUUUGAAUUUUGAAUUCGAUUACUCAUUAUGCAAUGAAGGCAUGUGUAUAUUCGGAUAUAUCACAUUUUCAAAUGCUAGCACCGAUUAUGGGAUUGAUUUAGCAAGUGUAAUACAUAAUAAAGUCUACUAUUUAAACAUUUCCAUACGUAACACGCUUUUAUAUGUAAAGCUUAUGUGUUUGGUAUCCCAAGCAUUAAUACGAAUUAAAAAAGUAGAACAAUAUAAAAAUUCAAUAAAUCAUAGCAUAGCACACUUUUAAUACCUUCAAAUUAGUUUUCUACAAUUAAUAAUUAAUAUAUAUAAUUACAAACGGGUUAACGGGUCGGAGCAGGCAAAAAAAAAGAAAAUUACCGAAGUACCCUUAUUUUGUAUUGGAAAAGCAAACUAUCCACUAGCGCUCAUUAAGAUAAUAUAGAUUAGAACUUGGAAUCUUUCAUUUGGAUGUAAUACCACUCAUAGAAAAUGUGUGAAACUCAAUAUAUAAUAUUUUAAAAUUUUCGACUACAAUAAAAUGAUAUUUUUGAUAAAAAAAUUUCAAAUAAAUGACUAAUUUGAGUUAAAUUUGCAAUAAGUGACAUACUUAAAUUUUUGAAAGCAGCCGUAAUCCUAAAGUUAAACUGGGCCUUCUUUACGCCAAUUUCAAUUUCAUCUAAUUUGCCGUAAAAUACUUCCACCGUCCCGACGUUAACUUUGAACAGCUUAUUUAAGAUUCAUUAACCACGUAAUAAUAUAAUAUAUAUUAAAAUUUUGCUUUUAAAAUUGAGUUUUAGCUUCUUGCGAACAGCUUUUGAAAUUAAACCCCCGAAUUAGGAGCUGAGAUGUAGAUUGUAGAAAGAGGUUACCACAACCCCUAGGCACUUUCCUCUGGAAUUGAAAUCUUCAAAUCAUUGAACCAAACUGAUGUAAAUUCUUAUUCAACUCAAACAGGGUCGCAUAGAAGGCACUACGGUUUUGGAGACACUUCAACUAACAUUCAACAAUAUAUAUACUAUUAAUUUAUUUAUCUUCCGCAGAGACGCGCAAACUGACUCCUCCGCUAGCAAGGACCUGUAUCGCUUUAAAUUAGAUGAAAUCAUGAAAAUAUGGACAAUACAAACUGCAAACUGCAAACUCGCAAGUCGCAACCCGGAGUUUUUGUAAAAGAUUAAUAACACAAGUACACAACGAUGCUAACACGUUGUCCUGUAAAAUGUACAAUCAUUUUUAGUGUCCUGGUAUGUAGUAUUUCACUUGGCCACUCUGAUCGCUUGGGUUACUACUGUACAAGUGACGGUAACUACACAAGUAACAGUAUUUACAAAAAGAACCUUGACAGUGCUCUAGCCAAUCUCUACUCCGCUGCAAACGCGAGCAACUCCGGUUUUUAUAAUGCUUCUGUGGGAGAAGGCUCGGACAGAGUGGAUGCAUUCGUGCUCUGUAGGGACGAUGUUCAACCUGAUAUCUGCAGAAGCUGUGUAAAAGACUCAACAGACAUGCUAAGAAAGUCGUGUCCUAACCAAAAGGAGGCUUUCGAGUGGUACCAAGAGUGCAUGUUAAGAUACUCGAAUAAUUCUAUUCUAAACAAAGUUGUGACAGAGCCGACGUGGAGGCUGAGAGGAGAUUAUGUAGAAGACGGGGCUCAGUUCAAUCAAAACCUUAGAGAUUUGCUGGAUGAUUUGAAAGCACAAGCAAUUCAAAGGAAGUUUGCUACAGGCAAAACAAGGGGUCCGCAAUUUAAGACCAUUUACGGGCUUGUGCAGUGCACCCCUGAUUUAUCUUCAAUCCAGUGCAGUAACUGCCUUGAUAACGCUAUCGGAUAUCUCUCAACAUGUUGCAGUGGAAGAAUAGGGGCGCAAAUAUUGAAACCUAGCUGUAGGCUUCGGUUUGAAGUUGUGCAGUUUUAUAAUGAGACAACUGGCACUGAUGCACAACCACCCUCCCGGUCACAGCUGCCUCGACCAGGUAAACUAAUGAGUUUCCUUGGCAUAUUUCCGGAUUGAUUAAAAUUUAUUGAGUAAAUUUUCUUCAACAUUUUUGUAGUUGCUGGAAAAGAAGAUAAUAGCAACCAAACCUUAAUUAUUGCUGCUGUUGUCAUUGUUGGUUGUGCUAUACUCCUGCUUGUUCUAGUUUGCAUCAUUAAAAGAAAGAAAAAUCAGAUGACUGCUACCGGGACAUUGCUGGGUAAGUGUUAUAUUGCAGAGUUUUCAGCAUACUCAUAUAUGUCGGUUAAGUCACAUAAACUUUGUUCUUCAGAUGACAGUAUGGAAGAUAUGAAUAGCACUGGAUCUUUGCAAUAUGACUUUGGUACUAUCGAAGUUGCUACCAAUCACUUUUCAGAUAGAAAUAAACUUGGAGAAGGUGGAUUUGGAGCUGUUUACAAGGUAAGCACAGAGUCAAGAGAAAUACGACUUUAAUUAUCACAAGAGGCAGCAUAAUACAUUCACUAAUAGCUUAUUUAUAUGAAAGAAAUUACUUUGCUAAAGUUAUUUUCCUUAUUGCAGGGUACACUUCAAAAUGGCGAAGAAAUAGCUGUUAAGAGGCUUUCUAAUGGUUCGAAUCAAGGUCAGCAAGAAUUUCAAAAUGAGGUCAUAUUAGUAGCAAAACUGCAGCACAGAAAUUUGGUUAGACUUCUUGGUUUCUGCUUUGAAGGAACUGAAAGGCUUCUUAUCUAUGAGUUUGUGCCUAAUGCAAGUCUUGAUCACUUCAUAUUUGGUACUACUUGUUUACCCUUAUAACACUUCGGUUAAAGUUUAUGUUAUCUUUCAAUAAUGAAUACCUAUGUUUCUGCCAAAAUUCUAAGAUACUAAAUUAAUUAGUAAUUAAUGGUGGUAUAUGGUUUGCAUGUCAAAGAUUCAGCGAGGCGUUCAUACAUGGACUGGGAAAAACGAUACAAGAUCAUAUGUGGAGUUGCUAGGGGACUUCUUUACCUUCAUGAAGAUUCUAGACUAAGAAUUAUUCAUCGUGAUCUUAAAGCAAGCAAUGUUUUGCUAGACACAGAAAUGAAUCCUAAAAUUGCAGACUUCGGCACGGCCAGGCUAUUUAAUAUGGAUGAAACUCAGGGAAUUACUCGCAAAAUUGUGGGAACAUAGUAAGUCUUCUAUCUAAUCUUACCAUUUAUGGCCAAAAAGCUUAAGAAUUAUAUAUUUAUUUCCACUAUAUUUUAAAAACUAAAUUUGUCAAAUAAUUUAUCUGUACAUUGCAGUGGAUAUAUGGCACCAGAAUAUGCAUUCUAUGGACAGUUCUCGGCUAAGUCUGAUGUUUUCAGCUUUGGCAUAUUAGUUCUGGAAAUAGUAAGUGGUCAGAAGAACCAUAGUUUCCAAAACGGGGAGAAUGUAGAGAACCUUGCAAGUUUUGUAAGUUGUGUCUUAAAAACAUUUCAUGAUCAUUUUCAUAUAUCAAAUGCUAUAUCAUAUUUGAUCAUACUAAGUUUUUUCAGGUCUGGAAGAAUUGGCAAGAAGGAACUGCAUCUAACAUUAUAGAUCCGGCAAUAAAGAAUAAUUCAGCAUCCAUACGCGAAAUGAUAAAAUGUAUUCACAUCGCGUUAUUAUGUUUGCAAGAAAAUGUUACAAACAGGCCAACUAUGGAUUCAGUGAUGCUUAUGCUUAAUAGCUUCUCUGUAGCUCUUGCAGUACCUUUAGAGCCAGCUUUCUUUAUAUCGAGCAGCAUUGAUCCAGAGCUGCCAUUGCUUGCGGAUGAUAAUAAUUCAAGAGUUAGCGACAAGUCUAGUGAUUACUCUAUUAAUAGAGAUCCAAUUACCGAUCUCCAUUCACGAUGAUUAUUUCACUGGUGUUCCUUUGUUUUUGAUAGAUUGUUUCCAACUUUGAUGGUGCCUACUUUCUGGUUUAACGUAAUUUCAUUAAUUGAGAAUCAGAAUCAGUUAUCCAUUAUUCGUGACGGUUUAAAUAUAAUUACAGUUGUCUCGACUUUCAGAAAUCAGAACUGCUGCGGUCUUUGUUUAGUUUUUAAAUUAAAACGAAUAUAGAAAGUAAUAAAAUUCCGAUUCAACUCAUGAUUUUAAUCACACGGAUUACAAAACAAAAAAUCUAUUAUAUUCUUCUUUUUAUCUCAAAAACACUAUAUUCUACAAUACAAAAGAUAUAUACAAUAUUUAAUAAUAAUUAUUAGUACAUGCAUUAUUGAUAUAAAUUAAAUUUUUAUUAUAAUAUUAUAAUCUACUUUAUAAUAUUAAAAAAAUCAAGUGUAAUAUGAAUAGAGGAGGGCCAGCUAUGGGAAAAAAGGCAGUAGUCCUACGAUUAAACAAAAGGUAGCAUUCUUAGUAUUUCUGAUUUACAUAAACAGAUUAAUAAUGUAAAAACUGAAAAAGCCGGAAGUAUUCUCCAAACUAGGGUUGUCAAAAAAAUCCGAAAAAUCCGAUAUCCGUCAGAAAAAUCCGUUACCGUAUCUGGAAAAAAAGCGGAUAUGAUCCGAAUUCGAAAUAAAAUGGAUAUUAUCUGUAUUCGAAUCCGGGGAUUGCGGAUACGGAUAUGGAUAUAGGCGUAUCCGUAUCCGAAAAUAUCCGUAUCCGAAAUUAUUUAUAUAUAUAUUUAUUGUUUAUUAUAUAUUUAAUUUAUUUUAUUUUAUCACAUAAAUUUUGAACAAAAAAUAAUAUUUAAAAUAAAAAAGAAAUAUUGACUUAAAAACAAAAAGAAAAUAUAAAGUACAUAAAUUAGCCCAAAAAAAAAAAUUAAAGUACAUACAUGCCACGCUUCGUUUUAACCCUAAGUUCCACUCCCAAAUCUUAAAAUAGGUUCAUUCUCUCUCCCAUUUACAAUGCCAGAAUCAACACUUUCUUUACUAAUUGAGACUGACAUUUUUUCUGCUCAACUUCACCGUCCCAAAUCUCCCUUCAGGUUGGUGUUGAUUUGUGUUUCAGGUUCUUGGGUUUCAGAGUUGAUGCCUGAGAUUCAUUUUGAGAUUCAGUUUGGUUUUUGGUUUUUGGUUUCAAGUGGGAAUUUGAAGAUCUAAAAAUUUUUGGAUCUUGAUUCUUGAUUAAUAUCGGUAUAUUUAGUUUUUGAUGAUGUCCGAAAAAACGGAUCUGGAUAUUAUCUGUAUCCGGAUAAUAUCUGACGGAUACGGAUACAGAUUCCAGAUAAUAUCUGGCGGAUUCGGAUACGGAUAUGAGCAAAUCAAUAUCCGUAUUAUCUGUUUGACACGUAUAACUUGAUUACCACUUCUUUAUAAUCUAAAUUUUAAUAUUAAAAAUAGCAAGCUCCAAUUAGAUCUAUAAAUAUACCGUCAUCAAUUUCAACAUCGUUUAUUUGUCUCAUCAUCUCAUCUUGCAUAUGAAGACAUACGUGUUAAUUUAUUCUAUAUUUGUUCGACUCAAUUUUUUUUUUUUAGAUGUCGUAUGGCUGUCCUUCUCUUCAAAAAAUAGCAAGCUCCAAUUAUGAGGUGUACACUUCGUCAAAGGUAGAAAAGUGGAAAAAGUAAUCAACCUACUAAGUACUGGUACACAACACGUGUGAAAAUAUAUGAAAACUCAGAAAUACGUACAAUCUCAGUAUCAAUGAAUGUAAUAUUCAUAGGAAAAAAAGCAGGACUAGGUGAAAUUGAAAAGGACUUUUAAAUGACUUCAGAAAUUAUAAUACGUAGUAGAUACUAUGUUGUUUCUUUUGCAUAUUUUGCCUUGACCGCGACUUGGUAUAUGUUCUAGUUAUGGCAUGUGUUUAAAGAAGAGUAGGCAUAUUGUUUGGCAACUUCCCUGAGGUCAGUAACAGUCCUGUUCACAUAUCAACUAGCUGCAAUAGUGUUUAAAAAUUAAAAGGGUCACUGUUACAUAAUUUUUAAGACUCUUGAACGAACAUUUAUCAGACUAUCAACUUAGGUAAAAACACGCAAUUUGACUUUCUGGCUAGCAACUAUAAUCUUAACCAAAAUUUGGGGACUUUGUUGAGUUGGAAUUACUACAAAUUUGCUAAACCCUGUAGUGUAUUCCAAAGAAUCAUAAUACAAAGACACUAGUUAAUGGCAUUUCACAUUAAGAGUUUAAUCUUUUUUAGUGUUCUAAUAGGGUGUAUCUGUGUUAGCCAGUCCGAUUAUUUAUUCAAUGUCUGUGGAUCUAAUGGUAACUACACAAAUAACAGUGUUUACAAAACGAACCUUGACAAAGCUUUCGACAACCUCUUAUUUGCAGCAAACACUAGCAACUCUGGUUUCUACAAUGCCUCCUUUGGUGAAGAAUCCAACAGAGUUUACACGCUCGUGCUCUGCAGGGGUGACGUUCAACCUGAUAUAUGCAGAAGCUGUGUAAAAGACUCAAUUAACAUGCUAAAAGAGCAAUGUCCUCACCAAAAGGAGGCUGAUGAGUGGUACCAAGAGUGCCUCUUAAGGUACUCGAAUACUUCUAUACUUAACACCUUAGUGACAGAGCCAACUAGGAUGCACAGUGGUACCGUUGCAAGUGAUAAGGCUCAAUUUAAUCAAGACCUCAGAGAUAUGUUGGAUAAUUUGAAAGCACAAGCUAUUCAACAAAAGUUUGCCACGGCAAAACAAACGACACAGGAUCGGACUAUAUAUGGGCUUAUGCAGUGCACUCCUGACUUGUCUUCGACGCAGUGCAGUAACUGCCUUGAUAAGGCUAUUGAAAAUAUUCCAACAUGUUGCAGUGGAAGAACAGGUGGCCAAGUAUUAAAACCUAGCUGUAGACUUAGAUUUGAGAUUGGACCUUUUUAUGAUGGGACGCCUUCGGUUGAUAUACAAACACCUUCGGCUAAACAACCUCCUGCAGGUAAAUUAAGAACUACAUUUGCAUAUUUUUGGAUUGAUAAUGCUAUCUGCAACAUGUUCAAUUUUUUUUAUUUUUUAUUUUUUUGUAGUAGCUGGCACAGAUAAUAAUAAGAAGCAAACUAUAAUUAUCAUUGUUGUCGUCAUUGUUGGUACUGUUACACUCCUGCUUGUUCUAUUCUGCAUCUAUAAAAGAAAGGGAAAACCGAGGACUGCUGCUGGGAUAUUGCCCAGUAAGUUAUUUAAAUUACUGCAUCAUGUUGCUUUAGAUGAAUUCCAAGUAACUGAUACUAAUAUCUAAACAAACAAGCUAAUAUCGCGUUUGUGGUUUAAUUUUCUCCAUGAAAUGCAAUGUUUCUGCAAUUACUUUUUCCUAUCUUCUUCAGAGGACAUGGUGAAUUUACAGACCAUCCAAUCCAUUCAAUAUAACUUUGGUACUCUUGAAGUUGCUACAAAUUGCUUCUCAGGUGGCAAUAAACUCGGACAAGGUGGUUUCGGAGCAGUUUACAAGGUUAGAGCCCCGAAUUCUAGUUAAAUAGUUGUGGAAAGAGGCAACGAAAUACAGCUAGUCUUAGUUAAACUUUUUUAUAGUAUUAUUUCACUUCUGGUAUAGUUAUGUUUAUGUUGUCUAUUUAUUAUUACAGGGUACACUUCAAAAUGGUGAACGAAUAGCUGUUAAAAGGCUUUCUGCAGGUUCAAAUCAAGGUCAACAAGAAUUUAUAAACGAGGUCGUCAUUGUGGCAGAACUGCAACACAAAAAUUUAGUUAGACUUCACGGUUACUGCUACGAAGGAACUGAAAGACUUCUUGUUUAUGAGCUUUUGCCGAAUGCAAGUCUUGACCACUUUAUACUUGGUAUGUAUCUGGAAUUCUGGAUGGUCUUUUCAGUUGUAACAGGUACUCCUUGGAAAUAGAGUACCUAAAUUUCUAUCAAUAACAAUGAUAACAUAUAUUUAUAUCACAGAUUCAGGGAAGCGUACAUGCAUGAAUUGGGAGAUACGAUACAAGAUCAUAAAUGGAGUUGCUAGGGGACUUCUUUAUCUACAUCAAGAUUCAAGACCGUCGAUUAUUCAUCGUGAUCUCAAAGCUAGCAAUGUUUUGCUCGAUGCAGAGAUGAAUCCUAAAAUUGCGGACUUCGGCAUGGCAAAGCUAUUCAACUUGGAUGAAACUCACGGAAGUACAAGUUAGGAAGGAAAAGAGACCUACGAUGGAUUCAGUAGUGCUUAUGCUAAAUACCUUUUCUCUCAGUCUUGCUGUACCUUUAAAACCGGCAUUUUUUAUCCAGAGUACCAUUGAUCAAGAACUACCAUUGCUUGCUGACAAUAUUAAUUCCAGUACCGGUAACAAUUCUAGUAACGUCGAAGAUCAGGUAAUUGUUUACUCUAUCGACAGGGCUCCGGUUACUAAUGUAUAUCCCCGAUGAUUAACUAAUACGAAAUGUAAACCGAAUGCAUACAUGUUUUUAAUGGUCUGUAAAGCACCUGGGUAACUCUGUCAGCUAUCGAUUCUUUAACCUUUUUUUUUUUCAAAUAUAUAAUAAUCUUCAUUAUUUAAUUUUGAAAUUUUCUUUCCUUCAAUAUUAUUUUUAUUUAGGAAGGAAAAAAUUAAAUAAGUAAUGAAAAAUUAAAAUAAUUUGUAAAAUUAUAUUUAUAUAAAUCUUUAGAUAUUAUGUCAAAUUCUUGGUUCAAAAAUCUGGAUGACAGAACUUUCGUUCUUGCAUACUUUAUUAUAAAAUAAUAUAAUAAUAUUCGAAAAAAUAUUUUAGGAGUACAUGACCCAUUUUAUAUAUGAAAAACUUGAAAAACUUGUAAUAAAAAAGUCCAAAGAAGAGUUGGAAGAUUAAAAAAAGAGCACAGAUAUAUACAAAUUAUGCAUAUCGAGUCUCCGUGAAUUAUAAUAGUUUAUAAAUUAUAAUGAAUUGUAUUUAAUUUCGAUUUUACGUGAAUUCUACAUGAAAUAUAUAGAUUUAAGUAAUAUUUAAAAAUCUCAUUUAUCUUGGUGAAAUUUCAAAAAUCUUAAAAUAUAAAAUAAAGCAUCUAUCAGAUUUAGAUUCUAAUGAAUACCAUCAAAUUUUAAAAUAUAAUUUUAAAUAUCUGAUUGAAAUAUAUUAAGUUUUGUAUUAUUAUUUAAAAUUUUAAUUAAUUUUUUAAUUUUUUUAAAUCAAAUUAAAUAUAUAAAAAUUUCAUAACUAAAAAUAAAAAAUAAAAUUCCGAUUAAUACAUCCUUAAGUGUAGACCUGUCAAUGGAUCGGGUUUGGAUCGGAUCGACCUAAAUCCAUAUCCAUAUCCAUUUAAUUUAGCGGAUUCGGAUCGGAUCGGGACCGGAUUUUUUUUACGCCGAUCCAUAUCCAUAUCCAUUCGGAUCAUGGAUGUCGGAUCCAUUUACUUACUACUUAUAUAUAUAUUUUUUAUAAACCUUUAACAUUACUUAAAAUACAAAUAAAACCAGUAAAUAACAAUGUUAAAAUUUAAAUUACAAAGUCAAACAUUACAUCUCAAGUCUCAAAACAAAUUACAAACUAAACUGUUCUUAAAUAAAAUAUAAAAAGAUCUGUAAGUUUUCAAACCACCGACACUCUAGGACUCAGGUCACCAAACUAGAUGAUUAGCAGAGACUGGGCCUGAAUUUGUAGUUGAUUUUAUAUUCAAAUAAUCAGUAAUGUAUGUUGUAAUUUGUAAAUACUUAUCAGGAAUAAAAUAUAUUAUUAUAUAAUAUUAAAUAUAUCUAAAUAUAUCUUUUAUAUAUAUAUAUAUAUAUAUAUAUAUAUAUAUGGUUAUAAUUACAUAGUUAAGUAGUAAUUAAACUUGAUAUAUGAAUUCUAACAUCCAAACUCAUCCAAGUUAUUAAUAUGAAAUAUUAUAGAAUCCAGACUACAAUUCAGAAUAGAAUCAUAUAGAUAUAUCUUUUGCACGAUUAUUUUACAUAGAAUCAUGUUAUUCUUAAUUUAUAUUUAUUGUUAAACAUGGUGGAUACUAUUAUCAUUCAUAAUAAAACGUUAUUCAGCUUAAAAUUUGAAUUUAAUUCAAGUUUUAGAUGAUAUUCUAUAUUUGAUUCUAAAGUGUUCUGUGUUGUUCUUUUUUUAACAGUGUUCUGUUUUGAGUAAUGGCCUAUAUAUAUAUAUUAACCGGAUCGGAUCACACUAAAUCCAUAUCCGGUCCAUUUAUUAUCAGAUUUUUUUAAUCGAAUCGAAUUUCGGAUCGGAUUUUUUUUUUUUUUACCUAUCUGUUUUCCUAAUCACUGUCUUGCCAAGUUAUAAGUCUAAGGGACACUGCAGAAAGUAGAUACCGAAAAUUGUUAUAAGACCAUCAUGUAUAUGCAUUCUAAGACUCUUCACUUAUCGUUCUCAGUCCAGAAUUUGGUGAUUCACUUGGAAGUUCUGAUGCAUUUAAGGAGCAUGGCUUUAUCCAUAUUCACCACCCCACUUAUCUGUAU